rnacentral:rRNA from 1 species
UACGUAGGGGGCAAGCGUUGUCCGGAUUUACUGGGCGUAAAGGGCGUGCAGGCGGUUUGUUAAGUCUAGGGUGAAAGCUCCCGGCUCAACUGGGAGAGGUCCUUGGAUACUGGCAGACUUGAGGAGGGUAGAGGAGAGUGGAAUUCCCGGUGUAGUGGUGAUAUGCGUAGAUAUCGGGAGGAACACCAGUGGCGAAGGCGGCUCUCUGGGCCCUACCUGACGCUGAGACGCGAAAGCGUGGGGAGCGAACAGG